rnacentral:rRNA from 1 species
GGAUGCGAUCAUACCAGCACUAAAGCACCGGAUCCCAUCAGAACUCCGAAGUUAAGCGUGCUUAGGCGAGAGUAGUACUAGGAUGGGUGACCUCCUGGGAAGUCCUCAUGUUGCAUUCC